ACCAAAGCACAGGGGCAUGCGGUGAGCAUGCGCCUCUUGUUCCUGGCUCUUCUAGCGACCAUCACGCAUGUGCUGCCCGAGUCUCUUCCCUGGCCGACGCUACCGCCGACAGUCAUAGAGGUUAAGAGGUACCGCUGCUGAUUGGAAUUUACUGAGAGGAUUGCUCACACAGAGAGGCAUCCUAAGAUGCUUCCAUUUUGCUCUUUGUCUGCCUGCCUCUCUGCUGACUCUGCUCCAAGCCAUCAAAAAGAACCAUCAAGAGGAAAUCACUGGAAUGGCCAAGUCAUUGUCCUAACAAAAGACAGAGAGAGAAGCCAUCAGCAAGACUAUGUGCCCCAUCCUGCACCCUGCACUCUGGGUAGUUAGCAAUGGAGGAUGCCAGAGAGGAGGAGGGAAGUUCCAGGUUUGCAGGGGGGAAUGAUGUAAUCAAACAGAGAAAAGUGUCAGUUUUGCAAACGGGGUGGGGGUACAUGUGAAUGCUCUGUACUCUAGGCUCAGGUUGUAUGUAUGUGUAAAUAAACCAUAUAUCAUAAAGAU